CCUACGGGUGGCAGCAGUGGGGAAUAUUGGACAAUGGGCGAAAGCCUGAUCCAGCCAUGCCGCGUGUGUGAAGAAGGCCUUCGGGUUGUAAAGCACUUUCAGUGGGGAAGAAAGCCUUGGGGCUAAUACCCUCGAGGAAGGACAUCACCCACAGAAGAAGCACCGGCUAACUCCGUGCCAGCAGCCGCGGUAAUACGGAGGGUGCGAGCGUUAAUCGGAAUUACUGGGCGUAAAGCGCGCGUAGGCGGUCUGAUAAGCCGGUUGUGAAAGCCCCGGGCUCAACCUGGGAACGGCAUCCGGAACUGCUAGGGUAGAGUGCAGGAGAGGUAGGUAGAAUAACCGGUGUAGCGGUGAAAUGCAUAGAGAUCAGGAAGAAGACCAGUGGCGAAGGCAGUCUACUAGACUGAAACUGACGCUGAUGUACGAAAGCGUGGGUAGCAAACAGGAUUAGAUACCCGAGUAGUC
rnacentral:rRNA from 1 species